GCUCAACCCCCCAUCGAGUUAUUAACAUGUUCCUGUUAGUUUUUGAGGGAUGGCCUCUGAAGAAACCAUUGGAAUAUUAAUGAAAGUUUUAUGAUGAGAUAAAAAUUCAAAAACUAAAACAAAAACCAUGCAUUAGCCAAAAAUAACUGUAGGAUACAAUUUCUAUGGCUACUAAAAUAUUAUUUUGGUUUUCAUUAAGCUGAAAAGUAAAAUGGUUAUCUUGAAAGGAGGUAAAUUGAGUUUAGCCCAGAUACAUUCAUUGAGAAGAAGCACAAAUCUCACUUUUUCACUUUCUUUUUUUUUCUUUUUUAAAGAUUUUUAUUUAUUUAUUCAUGAGAGACACAGAGAGAGAGGCAGAGACACAGACAGAGGAAGAAGCAGGCUCCAUGCAAGGAGCCAGACGUGGGACUCGAUACCGGGUCUCCAGGAUCACGCCCUGGGCAGAAGACAGGCGUCAAACCGCGGGGCCACCCAGGAUCCCCUCUUUUUCACUUUCUAUCAUCAAAAAUGUGUUUGCAUUGCAAGUGACAUCUGGCUGACAGGAACUUGGAGAAAUGGGAUACAAAGUGAAUGCUGCAGUUACCACAAGCAUCAUAUUUAUCAAAAGGUUUAAGUCCAUCUGGAUGUUCAUCAGAUGUGGGAAGGUAAAUAUCUUUGCAGAUUUUGCUAAUGAACCCCAAUCUUAAAAAACUAAUCUGUAGCUCCUGUCUUCUGUUAUGAACCAACGGUGCAUCAGUUAGCUACUGCUAUCAAACUGCAGCAUGACAACCCACUCCACAAUUCAGUGGCUCAAAACAGUCAUUCGUUUAGCUUUUGAGGGUUGAGGUAACCAGGAUUUGACCUAGACUGGUCAUGGGCUAGUGGUGGCUCUGUUCCAUGUGUCAUCCUCUUCGUAGGACCUGUGGUUAGUUUGGCAUGUCCUUCCCAUGGCGAUGGCAGAGUCACAAAAGACAUGCCAAGCAGUUUUCCGACCUCUGUUUGCAUCCUGCCUGCUAAUAUCCUACUGGCCAAACAAGCCACUUAGCCGAACCGAGUCAAGGUUUAGGAGAGCACCGCAGAGGGACAUGUCAAACAGCAUAGGUGCAGGGAGUGGGGAGGAAUUGGGGCCAUUAGCAGAGUCUAUCCCAAAUGGCCCUACCUCUUUUCUACAAAAGAAUGGGCUUUAAAUAGGGAUUUAUUUUUUAAUUUCCAUUUAUUUCAAGGCUUCUAUAUUUUAGGCCCUUACUCUCUCAUUAUCAUCCUGCAGUCCUACAAAAUGCACCUCAAUAUCCCUAUUUGCAGAUGAAGAAAUUGAGGCUCCGAGAUGUCGAGUAACCAACUUAAAGCUUUCACGGCUGGUCAGUGGCAGAGUCUGGACCUAAGUCCCGUCUGUGGGCUCAGGGCUUUGCAUUCUGUUCUUUCUCCUCUGUUAAUGCUGCCUCUCUGUAAAACCUCACUUGUGAAAUUCAAGAACAAGAAGGAAUUUUAGAACUCAUGUCAGCUAAUCUUUCUAUUUUGUAGAUGAAACAACUGAGCCCCCGAGAGAUGAUUUCUACAUUUUUAUCAUAUUAAUUAAUAGAAAACCAAGGGACUAGAAACUGAGUCUCUUGAUUCCUCACUUUCUCCGUUAUUUCA
rnacentral:lncRNA from 12 species